GAACGGAAAGGAACAGCCCCACGUCGAGAAGAACCCAUAAAACUGUUUCUUCCUCAAUCACUGUCCUCUUUACCAAAUAUCAGCCAUUCUCUCCUUGCCUGCUCAUCCUCGUCCUCAUCCUCGAGAUAAUGAGCGACCCCAAGUACGGUUACCCUUACCCUGCUCAAGGUUAUUAUCAAGGCCCACCGGUGCAGGCUCCGCCUCAAUACUAUGCCCCUCCGCCACCGCCACGCAGGGAACCUGGUUUUCUUGAAGGAUGUCUUGCCGCUUUGUGUUGCUGCUGCCUUAUCGACGAAUGCUGCUGUGACCCGUCCAUCAUCUUCGUUAGCUGAUCUAUGAUUCCAUAUAUUCCUGAACAGCUUAUCUUGUCACUCUUAAAUAAUUAAAAGAAGAUCAAUUGUUGAUUAGUGUGGGAGCUUCAUAGCUUGAUCAUUUGUCAUAUGCGCUCGUGGCUUGGUUUCUCUCCUAUUCACUCUGUUGUGGAAACUCCUCGUGACUUUGGAUCAUAGUGUAAUUUACAUGGUACUAAGAUUUAGUUCAUGAUUAACAGAUGAAUUGCAGCUUCUUGAGUAAGUUUCUGCU